UACGGAGGGUGCAAGCGUUAUCCGGAUUCACUGGGUUUAAAGGGUGCGUAGGUGGGCAGGUAAGUCAGUGGUGAAAUCUCCGGGCUUAACUCGGAAACUGCCAUUGAUACUAUCUGUCUUGAAUACCGUGGAGGUCAGCGGAAUAUGUCAUGUAGCGGUGAAAUGCUUAGAUAUGACAUAGAACACCAAUUGCGAAGGCAGCUUACUACACAGUAAUUGACACUGAGGCACGAAAGCGUGGGGAUCAAACAGG
rnacentral:rRNA from 1 species